UCCCUGGUGGCUCAGAGGGUAAAGCGUCUGCCUAUAAUGUGGGAGACCCGGGUUCGAUCCCUGGGUUGGGAA
rnacentral:tRNA from 1 species